rnacentral:rRNA from 1 species
UCGAAACCGGAGGAAGUGGGGAUGACGUCAAGUCCUCAUGGCCCUUAUGACCAGGGCUACACACGUGCUACAAUGGCCGGUACAAAGAGUUGCGAUACCGCGAGGUGGAGCUAAUACUCAUAAAGACCGGUCUCAGUUCGGAUUGGAGUCUGCAACCUCGACUCCAUGAAGUUGGAAUCGCUAGUAAUCGCGGAUCAGCAUGCCGCGGUGAAUACGUUCCCGGGCCUU